rnacentral:rRNA from 1 species
UACGGGGGGGGCAAGCGUUGUCGGAAUUACUGGGCGUAAAGGGCGCGUAGGCGGCCUUCUAAGUCGGACGUGAAAUCCCUUGGCUUAACCAAGGAACUGCAUUCGAAACUACUGGACUCGAGUAUCGGAGGGGAUGGCGGAAUUCCCGGUGUAGAGGUGAAAUUCGUAGAUAUCAGGAAGAACACCCGUGGCUAAGGCGGCUCUCUAGUACGGUACUGACGCUGAGACGCGAAA